rnacentral:lncRNA from 1 species
CUCCUUCUCCUCCCCCCCCGCCGGUUGUCUGCCGGCGGGCUCCUGACAGAUCGCGUGUGCGCGGCUCUGGGCGGCGCUCUGCGGCCGCCCCGUCCUCCCCACGCGCGUCACUGUCCUCGGGGGCGGGGGGCGAGGGCGCGGCGCCUGGGUCGCCUCUCUGCGCCUCAACUUUACCGGAGCGCGCACACCCGCCUGCCAGGCUGACCCGAGCGCGUCCCACCCAAGGUCGCCCAGCCCCGCGGGCGUUUACUUUUCAAAGGCCCCUGAGGAUGAAGGUAACCGUCCUGUGAGCACUGAGGCUGGGCCGGGACCAACACCUGAGCCAUGGCUCCAGCGCUCUGAUUCCUGGCCCAGCCAUGCUGCUGAGGGUGCACAGCCCAGGCCUACCAUCGCCCCCACCCUUGGUGGCAGAACCGAGCACUACCCAGCAAGGUAGGUGUUGGCUGCUGCAGCAUUUAUGCGGCCCUCCUGUUGGUUGGGGUCUUCCGGGAACACGCUCUAGAGCUGCGUUGUCCAGUGGGUAGGGUCAGCUGCAGGUGGAGAGUUCAAGUUAAAUUAACCUGAAGUAGAAUUCAGUGCCUUAGUCACACUGGUCACAUUUCAAGUGCUCAGUAACCUCCCAUGACUAAGUGACUGCCAGUAUUGGAUAGCAGUCACUCUUGAGGGUCACCCAGACCUUUACCUCUUGUGACCUACUCUACUUUACCACAUUGCAACUGCCGCAACUAUGGCUCCUGUGGCAAACGUCAAACUCUUUUUGUCUCGUCCGACCAGCACUUCAGCUCCUAGGAUUUGUUCCUGUUUUACUCUGGGACUUGCUGCCCUGUCCCAUGCCCAGAGAUAUUAGAACCUCAAUUUGCGUCCUGUCCCCCUCCCCACCCAGCCAUUGCAGCCUAAGGAAAUCCUGGCCAUCUUUGAGAAAGCCUUCCUGGCCUCCCUUUGCCCACUUCUCAGCGCGGCUGCUUAUGGCACAGGGGUGUGUGAGUGUGUGAGUGAGUGAGAUUGAUUCUUCCAUCAGAAUCGUGCGCUUCUGGUGAUCAGAGUCUGCUGCUUGUAGCAACUUAAACAUACUUGAAUGUAUGAGCAAGGUGAAUGACUGUGACCUGACGAGGAAAUGGGUAAAUGCAUCUGAUACAAGCCAAGAGGCCCUCU